rnacentral:misc_RNA from 1 species
AUAUAUAUCAAUCCACUUCUUGCUGAAGUGGUUUGGAUGUGGGGGUUUUGCUGGCCACUUUUGAAGGGUCAGCUCCCCUGAAACGCAUUAGCAGAACCAACCUGUUCAUUGGUGUGAUAAACUAUCUACGCUAUUGAAAGGUAAAGGCAGUUCAGCUUUCUAACCGUCCUUGGACAAAUCCAUCAUUU